CGUAGGGCGCGAGCGUUGUCCGGAUUUAUUGGGCGUAAAGAGCUCGUAGGCGGCUUGUUGCGUCGUCCGUGAAAACCUGUGGCUCAACUACAGGCUUGCGGUCGAUACGGGCGGGCUGGAGUUCGGUAGGGGAGACUGGAAUUCCUGGUGUAGCGGUGAAAUGCGCAGAUAUCAGGAGGAACACCGGUGGCGAAGGCGGGUCUCUGGGCCGAUACUGACGCUGAGGAGCGAAAGCGUGGGGAGCGAACAGGAUUAGAUACCCUGGUAGUCCACGCUGUAAACGUUGGGCGCUAGGUGUGGGGGGCCUCUCCGGUUCUCUGUGCCGCAGCUAACGCAUUGAGCGCCCCGCCUGGGGAGUACGGCCGCAAGGCUA
rnacentral:rRNA from 1 species